rnacentral:lncRNA from 1 species
GGACAACUAUAGUCAGAACUGAAAUGGAACAGGGGCAGGAGAAAUAACACACUUUUACUCCACGCAACUGUUGCUUUCACAUGAUCUUCAGGAAUGUAACUGGGAUAAUUGUCCAAAUUGAAUCCCAUACCCUGUCAUGGGAAUCUUGAGGAACCCAUUAAUGUAAAGCUGCGGCCAGAGUUCCAUGAGGAGGCAGAAUGUUCUAGAUGAUCCCUGUCUCUUCUCCAUUGAGGAAGUCGUUUCUUGCCUCUCUGUAAGCUCAGUUAAUGUAAAACAAAGAACAUUGAUACAUCGAUGAUGUGCAAUUUCAAAUCUCAAAGUUCACCCUUUUAUGUGCCAGAAGUGUUGGCUCUGUGACUUAUGGGCUGUCCAAUUUAGAGCUAGACUGAUGCUUUGUACAGAGUGGUAGCUGUGGAAGUGGUCCCAGUGGUAUCUAGAUGAAAAAGCCAAUCAAGCAGCUGGGCCCUAAUAGCCUUCUAAGAGAAAACUCAAAGAGCCUCAUCAACCAGGCAUUCUACAUUAUCCUUGGGAUGAACGUUACCCUGGGGCCUAACUGGCAGCAGCAUCUUUACCUUCCUCCACUCCAAGGCUUUCUAUGAUACAAUUCCCCAACCCCCUGAAUGUAUUCUGCAUGUGCAGGGAGGGGAGGUACAAGUCUUUUCAUGGUUCAUAUAGUAAAACACAAGAGCAGUCCCAUUAACUGGUUAUAACAAAAGCUCUGGUAAGUUGGUGAAGUUCAAACAUUGAUCUUAAUAGCCAAAAGGGGGGGGGGAACCCUUACAGAAUCUUUAUUUUUAAUUUCAAGCAUAUCAAUUUAAACCGUCCAAGCAGAAAAUUCCAUCAAGUGAGAUCCAUCAGCAGUUAAAGUUCAAAGUCAGAGAGCAAAUGGAAAUCACUAUAGCUUUUCUCAUUCCCCGUGGACAUGACCACUGUGAAGGUGGCACAUGAUUUACACUCCCCUGAUAGUAACUGAUGACACUCAGUGUGAACAAAUGGGGAGAACACUUAGAGAUGUACCGGAGAGCCUGCUUACAUUAUUUUUGGCUCCACUCUGGUGCUUGGCUUUCAAUUUUCAUUCUCUCUUUCUUUGAGAUUAACUUUGAAUUGCUUGUUCUCUUCCAUCUAGAGCCAAGCUUUUUGUAAAGAUCUAAUAGGGACAUCAAAGAAAUAUUAGGAUGUAUUGUCAGAAAUAUCCAAGUAUUGUAAGACAGGGAACAGCCAGAUGUGUAAUUUAAAAUAAGUUUAAACGGCAAAAAUACAGAAUCAACUACACAUAAGAGAAAUGACAUUUGAGCUAUUUUCCAAAUGUAAAUUGGACUUUCCUGAGAUUUGAUGUCUUAGUAUUUAAUACUUUCCUUAGAAAUUAUGAAAAAUGAAUUUAUUCUGUAGGUAAAAUUUUAAAAUAUUAAAAUUUUCUGUUUCAAAUA